rnacentral:rRNA from 1 species
GAGNGCAGAAGGGGAGAGUGGAAUUCCAUGUGUAGCGGUGAAAUGCGUAGAUAUAUGGAGGAACACCGGUGGCGAAAGCGGCUCUCUGGUCUGUAACUGACGCUGAGGCUCGAAAGCGUGGGGAGCGAACAGGAUUAGAUACCCUGGUAGUCCACGCNGUAAACGAUGAGUGCUAGGUGUUAGGCCCUUUCCGGGGCUUAGUGCCGCAGCUAACGCAUUAAGCACUCCGCCUGGGGAGUACGACCGCAAGGUUGAAACUCAAAGGAAUUGACGGGGGCCCGCACAAGCGGUGGAGCAUGUGGUUUAAUUNGAAGCAACGCGAAGAACCUUACCAGGUCUUGACAUCCCGAUGCCCGCUCUAGAGAUAGAGUUUUACUUCGGUACAUCGGUGACAGGUGGUGCAUGGUUGUCGUCAGCUCGUGUCGUGAGAUGUUGGGUUNNNNNNNNCAACGAGCGCAACCCUUAUUGUUAGUUGCCAUCAUUCAGUUGGGCACUCUAGCGAGACUGCCGGUAAUAAACCGGAGGAAGGUGGGGAUGACGUCAAAUCAUCAUGCCCCUUAUGACCUGGGCUACACACGUGCUACAAUGGUUGGUACAACGAGUCGCAAGUCGGUGACGGCAAGCUAAUCUCUUAAAGCCAGUCUCAGUUCGGAUUGUAGGCUGCAACUCGCCUACAUGAAGUCGGAAUCGCUAGUAAUCGCGGAUCAGCACGCCGCGGUGAAUACGUUCCCGGGCCUU